rnacentral:rRNA from 1 species
AGUGAACGCUGGCGGCAGGCCUAACACAUGCAAGUCGAGCGGCAGCGCGGGGGCAACCCUGGCGGUGAGCGGCGGACGGGUGAGGAAUUCGUCGGAAUCUGCCUUUUUGUGGGGGAUAACGUAGGGAAACUUACGCUAAUACCGCAUACGUCCUACGGGAGAAAGUGGGGGACCGCAAGGCCUCACGCAGAAAGAUGAGCCGACGACCGAUUAGCUAGUUGGUGGGGUAAAGGCCCACCAAGGCGACGAUCGGUAGCUGGUCUGAGAGGAUGAUCAGCCACACUGGGACUGAGACACGGCCCAGACUCCUACGGGAGGCAGCAGUGGGGAAUAUUGGACAAUGGGCGCAAGCCUGAUCCAGCCAUGCCGCGUGUGUGAAGAAGGCCUUCGGGUUGUAAAGCACUUUUGUCCGGAAAGAAAUCCCUGGAGCUAAUACCUUCGGGGGAUGACGGUACCGGAAGAAUAAGCACCGGCUAACUUCGUG